CACCACUCAAGCACGGCUUGGUGUUGGGCGACGUCCCUCCUUGGGGACGCGCCUCGAAACGCUCGGCGGCGUGGCACCGGCUUUAAGCGUAGCAGAAUCUUUCGCUUUGGAAGUCGGGGCCCCGUCUGCCGACUCUCCAACCUUCUUUUUUCCA
rnacentral:misc_RNA from 1 species